CCUACGGGAGGCAGCAGUGAGGAAUAUUGGUCAAUGGGCGAAAGCCUGAACCAGCCAAGUAGCGUGCAGGAUGACGGCCCUAUGGGUUGUAAACUGCUUUUAUGCGGGGAUAAAGUUAGUCACGUGUGACUAUUUGCAGGUACCGCAUGAAUAAGGACCGGCUAAUUCCGUGCCAGCAGCCGCGGUAAUACGGAAGGUCCCGGCGUUAUCCGGAUUUAUUGGGUUUAAAGGGAGCGUAGGCCGUGGAUUAAGCGUGUUGUGAAAUGUAGACGCUCAACGUCUGACUUGCAGCGCGAACUGGUUCACUUGAGUGUGCGCAACGCAGGCGGAAUUCGUGGUGUAGCGGUGAAAUGCUUAGAUAUCACGAAGAACUCCGAUUGCGAAGGCAGCUUGCGGGAGCACAACUGACGCUGAAGCUCGAAAGUGCGGGUAUCAAACA
rnacentral:rRNA from 1 species